AACGCACAUUGCGCCCGCCAGUAUUCUGGCGGGCAUGCCUGUUCGAGCGUCAUUUCAACCCUCAAGCUCUGCUUGGUGUUGGGGACCGGCCGCAGCCUCAGUGCUCUGCCGCCCCCUAAAUACAGUGGCGGUCCCGCCGCAGCCUCCUUUGCGUAGUAGUAAACCACCUCGCACAUGGAACGCAGCGUGACCACGCCGUUAAACCCCCAACUUUCUGAAGUUUGACCUCGGAUCAGGUAGGAAUACCCGCUGAACUUAA
rnacentral:misc_RNA from 1 species